GCACGCCUGAAUCUUUGUCUCAACCUCUACUUCUAGGAUGUAAGAAGUGAUCCCUAGGAAGCUGAUCUAGAAUGGGAUUGUGGAGUUGAAAAUUUGGUGGCCAGCUGAAGUGAAGACCCCAUCUCAGAUGACUAGGAUUCUUGUUACAAGAUGCUGUUAUAGGACUGAAAUCCCAGUAACAAUGAGGAUGAUUAAUCUCUGAAUAGCAGAAGACAAGUGCAAGCAAGCCCCACAGUAGGAUCCUAUACUUGGAUUUCAGCUCUCUUCUCACUACGACACACCUACAUACU